ACGGAAGGCAGCAGUGAGGAAUAUUGGUCAAUGGGCGGAAGCCUGAACCAGCCAAGUCGCGUGAAGGAUGAAGGUAUUAUGUAUUGUAAACUUCUUUAGUCGUAGAGAAAUAAGGCGGACGAGUCCGCUGAUGCUAGUAUACGAAGAAUAAGGAUCGGCUAACUCCGUGCCAGCAGCCGCGGUAAUACGGAGGAUGCGAGCGUUAUCCGGAUUUAUUGGGUUUAAAGGGAGCGUAGGCGGCCUGUUAAGUCCGCGGUCAAAUGUCAGGGCCCAACCUUGGCAUGCCGUGGAUACUGGCGGGCUUGAAUGUGCACAAGGAAGGUGGAAUUCGUCGUGUAGCGGUGAAAUGCUUAGAUAUGACGAAGAACUCCGAUUGCGAAGGCAGCCUUCUGGGGCAUGAUUGACGCUGAGGCUCGAAAGUGCGGGAAUCAAACAGGAUUAGAUACCCUGGUA
rnacentral:rRNA from 1 species